rnacentral:tRNA from 1 species
GCGCCGAUGGUCCAGCCUACUAGGUAGAUAUCUGGAAUGGUCUAAGACAUUGGCCUGCCACGCCGAUAACGUUGUAGCUCCCUGAAAAAAGGAGCGUCGGCAAGACCCGGGUUCAAAUCCCGGUCGGCGCACCA